UGAAAGGUAAAUCUGCUAAUCUGGUGACUCGGUCCCUCUGGUCACUAUUCUCCAACCCUCGAUUGUCAGCUGAAUAUUCAGGGAAGAUUUUUAUGGAAGCGUAUUAACCAGACACACACUUUUUGCUCUCCAUAAUCUUCUGAUCGUUUAUUCAAGAUUCGCUAUAUUUAUACUAUACUUGUCACGAAUAUUGAUUACAAAAGGUUACAAAAAGGUUACAAAAAGGUUACACAAGAUACAUAAAAGAGGAAGUAGUUUCUGCUGUUACAUUCAAUAAUCUAAUCUUACAAAAUAUCACAUAUACAUUGUGGUUAGGCAUUUCCUGAUACAUAGAAACUGUCAUAGCUUGUGACUUCCUUUCAAUUAUGUUUUGCAAGCAGUUCUGAAAUACUGACAGAUUAAUUGUUUAACCCCUUAAGGACCAGAUUUCUGGAAUAAAAGGGAAUCAUGACAUGUCAUGUGUCCUUAAGGGGUCAAUAUUCCUUCAUUUCCCCCUCUUUGAGCAAUAUCUUGCUCAUACCCUAUUUAAGGAGUCCUGGUCAGACAACCAGCCAUCUGCCAUGGUAUAUUCAGGAUUGCUAGCCAAUCCUGCAGGUCUUUCAUUAUGUCUUCGGCCACUAUUCCCAUAGCAUAGGACUAGGCAUCUGACCAGCACCACAAACUUAUAGAUCUGUAUCAGUAUGUUCACCAUUGCUUCGGUUAUGUGUAUACAUUUGGAGAUAAUCAUCAUUUCAAGCUGGGGAUUUUACAGGAACAGUGUUGCGUGUAUGUUUGUAAAUGCAGAAUACAAUAAUCUUGAAAAUAGCAUAAACAAGUAGAGCAAGGAUCAGAACCAUAACAAUAAGUAUUGCAAUAUUCUUUAGCCAGUCUAGGAUACUGUCAAACUUAAACAUAUCUGCCCAUGGGUGAUCAAUACCUGAAUUCCUCUUCAUUUCUAUGGACAGGUCUUCUAAUUUCUUUAUAGCUAGGGUUACUUUACCAUUAGGGCCAGUGUUCUCUGGAAUAUAGGUACAACAAACACCGGAGUCAAGUAAUUUACAGACUCCUCCCUUUUCUGCUAAAAUCAUAUCAAGGGCCAUUCUACUCUGGAAAGUCAUUUGUGAGGUAGCCUGUAAUUGUUCAGCAAGACCUUGUAAUGCAUCUUGUGUAUAAUUUACAAAUCUUUGCUGAUUAUAAUAUAUAUAAUUAAUCCAGUUAACAUUCUUGUUAGCUGUUAUAAUGGGAAAUAUUGAUUCAAAUCCUGCUGCCACCUCGUCUCUAGCUUUAAAUUCAUUAGGAACCCCUCUUGGAAUACCAAUGGCAUCUAGAUAGAUAUGUGGGUCGAAACUACCUUGUGGGGAUUCCCUUUUCCUUCUUGUGGAAUAAGUUACAACCUUAAUUUCAGGGAGAGAGUCGCCAAAUAUAUGGAGGGGCAUGAUUAUUUUGGCUGGGGCACAUUCUCCUCUCCAGGGGGUGGGGAGUCUAGAACGUAUUUUUAUAUCUCCACAUAGAUUGUGUUUGAUUCACUAAGGUAAUAUUACUGUAGGCGGAGCAGAAUCCUGAAGAAAAGUUAUCAAAUGGUUUACCCACCUUAACAUUAUUAUUUCCCUGAAAACAAGUAUAAUUACCAGGGUAUACUGAGACAACAUCAUUUAAUUUAAACUUGGGUUCACCAAUAGGGUGACCCUUUUUCCAUUCUUCACAUCCUGUAGUAUUAACAGUGAUACCUGAAAACAAACUUAGGAAACAUUCCCAGUACUCAUCAGGGACAUGUAAGGGUACAGUUCCUAGAUGAGGUCUGGCACUACCACAUACAUAACAGUUUGACCUAUUGCUGGAAUGGGCAUUAUAUCUCAACCAUUCCAGCCAUAGGUUUGUAUCUGCAUACCCUGUUUCUAACGCUGUGGUAUCUCCAAACGUGGGAUCUGCUAUGGCCAUCAUAUCACCAAGGGUUUGAAUGUGGGGCUUUAGAGGAUUAACAAGAAUAUAAAUACCUUGAUCUCCAGGACUGGGGUUUUCAAUAUUUAAGGUAUAACCCCAAUCUGUCCUGGUGUUCCAUCCAACUGAGCCCCAAUAAUCACAAUUGUUACCCCUCUUUGAGCAAUAUGUAUUGCUCAUAUCAUCGGUUAACAUUCUCCCAAGACAGAGAAAUUUCCACAUUAUGGCAUUCCCAAGCAAUCAUGUGGUCUACAAGAAACAGAAACUCAGCAGAAAAAAACAAAAACAAAACAAAAACACUUAAUACUUUUGCAGACAGAUAUAUAGAAAAUGGAUGUUUAAGACAGGAUGGAACUUGGGCUUAUAGCAACUAUAUUAUAGCACAACCAGGACCUUGCGUCCUAUAUCUUUUAACCAUUUCCCUAUUCCAAAAGUCCAGUCAAAAUCAGUCAUAUCCUCACGCAGUUCCUCAAAACAUGGGAAUCCAUCGCUGGCACACUCAACAUAUAUCAAAAACACACAUAGUACAUCCAUCCCUGGGUCAGCUAACACUUCCUCUCUCUCUGGCUAACUCUACAAAAAUAAAAAUAAAAAUAGUUCAAUAGUUCAGCAUAGUUCAGAAAAAUAGAAUAAGUCUUUCACAGAGUAUAAAGAAAUCAGGUUAGACACCAGACAUUUUGUUCCAUAAAAAUGGCUAAGGGUAGCAAUAUGGCUGACAACAAGACAAUGUCAGCUUCCAUAUAGUUCUUAGUUCUUCUUUUGUUUGCUGGAUUUUCACCACAAAGCUCUGUGCAACACCCCAAUGGUUGAAAGGGUUAUUACAGAACCAGCGGUAUUAGACAGCACUGCACCUUCAGGACUUUCCAGUUUCUGCGUGCAAAGUUCAUGUCCUCGUAAAUAAGUAUCUCAGUUUCUUCGGCCUGCAUGGAUAAUGACCAAACAGAUGUAAUUGCAAAAUACUUAUUGCAUGGUCAGCCAGAGAGAUUGGUGUGUAGUCCCAGAAAUCAGGCGGCACAUAUACUCCAGGACGGUCUCUAUUAGAACUCCUUUAUGAGGGAGAGACAUCUUGUCCAUUCAAUCCUUUUUAUCAGUAAAAGAAUGACUUUCAGGAUUAAUCAGUUUGCAAAUGGAAAUGUGGAGCCACGAUUUGAACAGCAGAAGUUUGCAGGGCCCCUUUCACGUGGGAUGUAACAAGCGCUUUUCGUGCUCCAUGAGCGAUAGCAUACAAUUGUUUCAUUCUAGCCGGCUGGACAGCAUUUCACCUUUUGUAAAAACACUAAAUGCUUGUGUUAAUGAUAUGCAAAUCACUCUGCUAGUUAAACUCCUACACAAUGGACAAUAAAAUACAUAAAACACAUAACACACCAAUUCAUUUCAAACCAUAUAACUCAUACUCAGCAUUCAAUGUAAUAUUACAUGUCAUCUCACAAAACAGACAUCUCACAAAACAGACGUAGUAGAUACACGUAUCGGGUACCCAGCAGAUAUGCCAAUACAGAAAACACAUUCAUGAGCACACAACUACACACUCUGUGUCCCUCCUAGGAAACACAGGUAGACACAAUAUGAAAGCAGUCUUAAACUAAUACCUCCAAAUCUCCAUUCCCAUAUAGCUAUAUCAGAACACAAUCAGAAAACAACACAGCAACAUAUAAAUUAAACCACUUUCCAGUUAAGCUGCACACUUCACACAUUAUCACAGUCACCAUUUACACAGAAUAAACA